ensembl:snoRNA
GUCCAUGUAUCUUUGGGACCUGUCGGCUGUGGCAGUCUCCCUUCCUAGCCAUGGAAGAGUAUAUGCUUGUUUAUUGGCAAAGCUGUAACCAUUUAAUUGGUAUCAGAUUCUGACUGGCACAAGUAACAUUC